AGAGUUUGAUCCUGGCUCAGGAUGAACGCUGGCGGUAUGCCUAACACAUGCAAGUCGAACGAAGUCUUCGGACUUAGUGGCGGACGGGUGAUUAACGCGUGAGAAUCUGCCUUCAGGAUGGGGACAACAGUUGGAAACGACUGCUAAUACCCGAUGUGCCGAAAGGUGAAAAUAUUUUGCCUGAAGAGGAGCUCGCGUCUGAUUAGCUAGUUGGUGGGGUAAAAGCUUACCAAGGCAACGAUCAGUAGCUGGUCUGAGAGGAUGAGCAGCCACACUGGGACUGAGACGCGGCCCAGACUCCUACGGGAGGCAGCAGUGGGGAAUUUUCCGCAAUGGGCGAAAGCCUGACGGAGCAAUACCGCGUGAGGGAGGAAGGCCUUUGGGUUGUAAACCUCUUUUCUCAGGGAAGAAGAUCUGACGGUACCUGAGGAAUAAGCAUCGGCUAACUCCGUGCCAGCAGCCGCGGUAAUACGGAGGAUGCAAGCGUUAUCCGGAAUUAUUGGGCGUAAAGCGUCCGCAGGUGGUUUUUCAAGUCUGCUGUCAAAGACCAGAGCUCAACUCUGGGCCGGCAGUGGAAACUGGGAAACUAGAGUUCGGUAGGGGUAGCGGGAAUUCCCAGUGUAGCGGUGAAAUGCGUAGAUAUUGGGAAGAACAUCGGUGGCGAAGGCGCGCUACUGGACCGAAACUGACACUCAGGGACGAAAGCUAGGGGAGCGAAAGGGAUUAGAUACCCCUGUAGUCCUAGCUGUAAACGAUGGAAACUAGGUGUGGCUUGUAUCGACCCGAGCCGUGCCGUAGCUAACGCGUUAAGUUUCCCGCCUGGGGAGUACGCACGCAAGUGUGAAACUCAAAGGAAUUGACGGGGGCCCGCACAAGCGGUGGAGUAUGUGGUUUAAUUCGAUGCAACGCGAAGAACCUUACCAGGGCUUGACAUGUCCGGAACUUCCCUGAAAGGGGGGGGUGCCUUCGGGAACCGGAACACAGGUGGUGCAUGGCUGUCGUCAGCUCGUGUCGUGAGAUGUUGGGUUAAGUCCCGCAACGAGCGCAACCCUCGUCUUUAGUUGCCAGCAUUAAGGUGGGCACUCUAGAGAGACUGCCGGUGACAAACCGGAGGAAGGUGGGGAUGACGUCAAGUCAGCAUGCCCCUUACGCCCUGGGCUACACACGUACUACAAUGGUUGGGACAAAGGGCAGCGACCCCGCGAGGGAGAGCGAAUCUCAUCAAACCCAGCCUCAGUUCAGAUUGCUCUCUGCAACUCGAGAGCAUGAAGGAGGAAUCGCUAGUAAUCGCAGGUCAGCAUACUGCGGUGAAUUCGUUCCCGGGCCUUGUACACACCGCCCGUCACACCAUGGAAGCUGGUCACGCCCGAAGUAGUUACCCUAACUUUCGAGAGGGGGACUCCGAAGGCAGGGCUAGUGACUGGGGUGAAGUCGGAACAAGGUA
rnacentral:rRNA from 1 species